rnacentral:rRNA from 1 species
UACAGAGGGGGCAAGCGUUGUUCGGAAUUAUUGGGCGUAAAGAGCUCGUAGGCGGUUUGUCGCGUCUGCCGUGAAAGUCCGGGGCUCAACUCCGGAUCUGCGGUGGGUACGGGCAGACUAGAGUGAUGUAGGGGAGACUGGAAUUCCUGGUGUAGCGGUGAAAUGCGCAGAUAUCAGGAGGAACACCGAUGGCGAAGGCAGGUCUCUGGGCAUUAACUGACGCUGAGGAGCGAAAGCAUGGGGAGCGAACAGG